rnacentral:rRNA from 1 species
ACGAUUGCAAGUCGAGCGGAUGACGGGAACGCGGUAGCCUAGGAAUCUGCCUGGUAGUGGGGGACAACGUUCGAAAGGAACGCUAAUACCGCAUACGUCCUACGGGAGAAAGCAGGGGACCUUCGGGCCUUGCGCUAUCAGAUGAGCCUAGGUCGGAUAGCUAGUGGUAGGGUAAAUGGCUCACCAAGGCGACGAAUCCGUAAACUGGUCUUGAAGAGGGAUGAUCCGGGUUCACCACUGGGAACUUGGAGAACCACGGGUCCCAGAACUCCCUACGGGGAGGGCAGGCAGGUUGGGGGGAAUAAUUGGGACCAAUUGGGCGGAAAAGCCCUGUAUUCCAAGGCCAAUGCCCGCCGUUGUGUGAACAGAAGGGUCUUCGGAUUGUAAAGCACUUUAAAGUUGGGAGGAAGAGCAGUAAGUUAAUACCUUGCUGUUUUGACGUUACCGACAGAAUAAGCACCGGCUAACUCUUGUGCCAGGCAGCCGCGGUAAUACAGAGGGUGCAAGCGUUAAAUCGGAAUUACUGGGGCGUAAAGCGCCGCGUAA